CAAAGGAGCCACCCAGGCGCCCCAUAUCUGGUUUCAAACCCUGUGUUGUGGUUUAUUAGCUUUGUACCAAGAUGCCUUUCCUUAAGGACAAGAGGGGUGUCGGCCUUGCUCUCUCUUGUAUUUCCAGUCUCUGGCACAUAUUUGUUCAGCAUUUGCAAACAUUUGUUGGAUGCCUGCAGAAACAAACAGGCACAAGCACGCACACACACACACUCACAAACACACAGAUUGUGUUGUUGUUUUAUUGUAACAAGAUACAUAUGGCUUCAAACCAGGCUUCAGUGGCCAUGGAGAAGAGAAGUGGAGGGUCCCCGUGGUUUUGGCAACUGCCAAUCACAAUGGGAUCUCGCCCCAAAGCAGGGGGUACAUCAGUCCAUCACUGAGGAGCGACGUGACCUUGGGCAUGUUAUCUGUCCUCUCUGGGUCCCCUGUUCCUCAUCGGUAAGUUGAGGAGAGAUCUCAAAGAGCAUGAGAGGGGGCAAUUCUCUGAGGGACCUGGCAGCACAGAGACCUCCCCAUCCUGCCUGGUUUUCCAAAUGUUGCAGAGACCACUGAGCAUCCUGGAGCUGGUCUCCGUCUCUGAAAUGGAACCAGUUAAUUCCUACUGAUAUGAACGCAGAGCUGGCACCUGGUCACCGGUGCCCCCAAGUCAAAUAUUCUCAAUUUACCAGGUCUCCAGAACAGCAUGCCUCACGCCCCAGCUUUUCUCACCAUCGCUGACACUCACCACGUUAAUCCCAUUAGCACUCAGAGUGCUGUGUGUCAAAAAAAGCACGGGAAUCCAGCUCUUUGGGUUCGAUUUAAGGGCUUCUCACCCUGACUAGUGGUGGUCAUGUGAAGGCUUUUGACACCAACCCUGGGAAACCAGCCCAGGAAACUAAUGUUCUGGACCACACUUUGGGAAAAAGAACUUCCACAGAAAAAGAGGAAUUGGAGCCUGGCCUUUUACGCAAUUUUUACACAGAUGGAAGCAAUUCCAGGUGAUUCAAGUCGGGUCGGCAUAAAAGGCUUCAGGCUGGGGAGAGUUUCCUUUUCAAUGGCAGCUCCGUUUUCGAUUUCCUCCUCAGCAGGCUUGUGGCCUCACCUGCUCUGUGCAGGCACAGCCACAGGGAACAGCAUGUCGUGCUAAAUCAGUGCUGAUUCCAUCAGUAGCCAGUUGGCAUGGUUAUACAAAUGAUGGUACAUCCAUUGAACGGAGUUCUUUGUAGGUGUUGAAAAUAAGAUCUGUCCAUAUAUCCCACUAAGGAGAGCUGUGCAAGAAGGUCAGGAGGAGGAAAAAGCAGUGUGCAAGGCCUUCGGAAAGGAUACUCAUUUUCCUUGAUGAAAGGCGUUUACGUAUACAUGUGUGCUUGUAUAAAAAUGUAAAACAAAACCACCAACAGAUUCUUGUUGUGCUUAUAAAUGUGCAUCUCCUCGAGAGGAUGGGUGUGUUUUCUGGAGAAAGUACCCGUAAGAGUAGACUUUGGCAAAGGGAAAAGAGAAAGGGAAUUCUCCCUUUGAUUUUAUACUUUGCACCUUAUUUCAUGCUCACAUGAAUGGUUUGUAUGUUUACAGUGUGUGUGUCUGUGUCUGUUUCAGUAACAGAAACAAGAGGGAUUUGCAUUAAAACAUGAAAGAAAACAAAGACAGGUCUAACCCUGGGACUUGAGCUCCUUCCCUGUGUUCUGGGCCAGCCCGGCAGACCUGGUUAUUUUUCCAGCCGGGAAUCGUUUCAUUUUCUUGCCUCAAAUCCUGGAUGAGCCCGGGUCUAGCAGGAGGCUGACAGAGGCCUGGGCCGAGGGAGGCCAGCCACCCCCUCCCGCGGCAGGUGCUGUUGUUCGUAUGUGUGAGCGUGCGGGGGGUGUAGGGGUGGGCAUGUUUGGGGAGGGGUGGGGAGGAGCUGGACAAGCCUUCAGAGCAGAGGGAAGAACUGACAGUGCCGAAUAAGGAAAGCCAUGUGGUGUGGCACCAAAGUUUUAAAUGCUUUAAAAUAAAACUGGAAGUAAAUUUAAUUCAGAGGAAAAUGCUGAUAAUCCAUGCAUGGAUGCUGGAAUCCUCUGGGUGAACAGAUACCAGCUUUGGGGUUGGUCCUUCCCCUCACCAGCUCUAUUUUUGACUGGUGACCCCAAAAAGUCCUGUCCAUACCCCACGUGUCUGGUUUACCCCAGAAUCUGUGAACACAAAUGUACUUGGGAAGAGGUCUUUGCAGAGGUAAUAAGUUAAGGAUCCUGAGAGGAGAUAAUCCGGGAGUAUUUAGAUGGGCCUUAAAUCCAAUGACAAGUGUUCUUGUUAGGCACUUGGACGAGACAGAAGAAAAGACACGAGGACAUGGAGAGAAAGCCAUAUGAAAGUGAAGGCAGAGAUUGAAAUGAUGCAGACUAGCUAAGGCACACCCGGAGCCACCAGGAGCUGGGGAGGCUUGGAAGGUUUUUCCCUGGGGCCUUCAGAGGGAGCAGGACUCUGCCGACACCUUGAUUUCAGACUUCUGGCCUCUCAAACUGUGAAAGAAUAAAUUUCCAUUGCUGUAGCCACUGAUGUAAUAAUUUAGUAUAGCAGCCCUUAGGGGACUAAUAUACUUGCUGAAGAGACAAGGGUGGCCUUGGAUCGACUUCCCAGCGCAAGGGGCAGACUACGAGGUUUGGGAAGAGAACAGGCAGCCCUCUGUACCUCACCCAGGACAUCAUGUCAAGCCCCUAAUACCCUCUGUGGCCCUGCCCCUUCUUCUGACUCUAUUGGCUUCUUCCGCCAAAUUUUUUCUGCUUAGGGCCUCUCAUGACCUGUUACUCUUAUCUAUUUGUUUGAUUUAAUUUUGCAUAGUAACUGUCUCCCCCAGGAAUGUGUGCUUCCUGAGGGCGGGGCUGUCAUUUGGCUUCCCUCGGAAUCUACCCGUGGAAGAGUGCUGGGCAUAUAAGGGUGCCCAGGUGACAAGGUGAUCUUUGAGGAAGGAGAGGAGAAGGGAGGGCACUCUGACCAGGACCCUGGGAUUAGCAGGGCAUAGAGCUCAGAGGGAGGUAGAGAGCUC